rnacentral:piRNA from 1 species
UGACAAACACCAUACAUUGUCUGAAGAAGC